rnacentral:rRNA from 1 species
CCUACGGGCGGCAGCAGUGAGGAAUAUUGGUCAAUGGGCGGGAGCCUGAACCAGCCAAGCCGCGUGAGGGAAGAAGGUACAGCGUAUCGUAAACCUCUUUUGUCAGGGAACAAAGGCGGGGACUAGUCCCCGGAUGAGGGUACCUGAAGAAAAAGCAUCGGCUAACCCCGUGCCAGCAGCCGCGGUAAUACGGGGGAUGCGAGCGUUAUCCGGAUUUAUUGGGUUUAAGGGGUGCGCAGGCGGCCUGUUAAGUCAGCGGGAAAAGCCCGGGGCUCAACCCCGGCGAGCCUUUGAAACUGGCGGGCUGGAGUGGGAGAGAAGUACGCGGAAUGCGCGGUGUAGCGGUGAAAUGCUUAGAUAUCGCGCAGAACCCCGGUUGCGAAGGCAGCGAACCGGCUCCACACUGACGCUGAGGCACGAAAGCGUGGGUAUCGAACAGGAUUAGAUACCCGUGUAGUC